GUGAGUCUCGUUUCACGAAAGGACAGUCAGCCUUCUCUCUGGUGAUUUUAGGUUGCUGCAAUGAGUGAGUUUGUGCAUGGGCCCUUUAAGACCCGGAUCUUUUUGGCUUUUGGCCAAUAGCUUUUCUGGGGUGUCCUCGCUGCAGUUAAUAGCCAGCAAAGCCAGACAGUAAGACCCCCCUCUCAUUUGGGCUGAGUCCAAAGGAUGGUUAUAGCCAUAUUGACCCCGCUCCGGACCUCGCUCCUCCAGGGAGGGCUGCAUACCUUAGGUUGGCUCCCGCCUGGCCAGCUGAGAAGCUCCGCUGCUCCCAAAACCGGUUUUUGUCCUCUCCUGCCGGAGUUGCUGCCUCUUCUGCUUUCGUCAGGACUGUCCCUUGCCGUGGGGGUUCUUUUUAUCCAGUGUUCAGUUUUCAAUCCAGGAUGAUUCUUCCCAAAAUUGUUGUAACCUGGUUGUGUUCGUGGGAGGAGGCUGUCAGCCUCAGCACCCCCCCCUCCAACCCACCUAUGGCUUCAAGUUGCAUCUGGACAACACGUGAUGCUGGAAUAGAAUUUUACAACCAGACACAAAGAAGAAGAGAAAAGUCAAGCGCUUAGUGAGAAUCAGUUGCAGGAAGUAAAGAGUGGAAUCGAGAGAUAGCUAGGCUGGCCCUGAGCUAACAUCCGUGCCCAUCUUCGUCUGCUUUAUACUUGGGACGCCUACCACAGCAUGGUGUGCGAAGCAGUGUCAUGUCUGCAACUGGGAUCCGAACCGGUGAACCCCGGGCCGCGGAGAAGAAGAACCUGCGAACUUAAUUGCUGCACCACCGGGCCUGCCCCAGGCAUUUCUUUUAAAGAUUAUUUUUGAGAAGCUAAUAGAAUGUCAAAAUGUGGUUAUCAAAGUUGCAUUGUGAUGUUUGUGCUUCUAGUUCAGAGAUGUGUGCCUUAGAUAAAAAACGGACAGUUGUCUACAUAGGGAUGGUAUUUAAAACUUGGGAUAGACCACCAAAAAAGUUAGUUGUUAUGGGUUAAAUAUGUGCAUUCCCCCAAAAUUCACAUGAUAAAAUCCUACCCCCUAAUGUGAUAGUAUUAGGAGGGGUAGCCUUUGGAAGGUUUUUAGGUCACGGGAGCAGGGCCCUUAUAAAUAGGAUUAAUGCUCUUAUAAAAUGGACCCCAGAGAGCUUUCUCCCCUUUUUUCUGCUGUGUGAGGGUACACGGAGAAGUUGGCAGUCUGCACCUGGAAGAGGGCCCUUCC
rnacentral:lncRNA from 1 species